GAUCAUGGCUCAGGACGAACGCUGGCGGCGUGCCUAAUACAUGCAAGUAGAACGCUGAAGGAGGAGCUUGCUCUUCUGGAUGAGUUGCGAACGGGUGAGUAACGCGUAGGUAACCUGCCUGGUAGCGGGGGAUAACUAUUGGAAACGAUAGCUAAUACCGCAUAACAGUAGAUAUUGCAUGAUAUCUGCUUGAAAGGUGCAAUUGCAUCACUACCAGAUGG
rnacentral:rRNA from 1 species